rnacentral:rRNA from 1 species
UACGUAGGGGGCAAGCGUUGUCCGGAAUCAUUGGGCGUAAAGCGCGCGUAGGCGGCCCUGUAAGUCCGUUGUGAAAGUCAAAGGCUCAACCUUUGAAAGCCGAUGGAUACUGCAGGGCUAGAGUCCGGAAGAGGCGAGUGGAAUUCCCGGUGUAGCGGUGAAAUGCGCAGAUAUCGGGAGGAACACCGGUGGCGAAGGCGGUUCUCUGGGCCUGUACUGACGCUGAGGAGCGAAAGCGUGGGGAGCGAACAGG